GACGAACGCUGGCGGCGUGCUUAACACAUGCAAGUCGAACGGAAAGGCCCUGCUUUUGUGGGGUGCUCGAGUGGCGAACGGGUGAGUAACACGUGAGUAACCUGCCCUUGACUUUGGGAUAACUUCAGGAAACUGGGGCUAAUACCGGAUAGGAGCUCCUGCUCCAUGGGGGGGGUUGGAAAGUUUCGGCGGUUGGGGAUGGACUCGCGGCUUAUCAGCUUGUUGGUGGGGUAGUGGCUUACCAAGGCUUUGACGGGUAGCCGGCCUGAGAGGGUGACCGGCCACAUUGGGACUGAGAAACGGCCCAGACUCCUACGGGAGGCAGCAGUGGGGAAUAUUGCACAAUGGGCGGAAGCCUGAUGCAGCAACGCCGCGUGCGGGAUGACGGCCUUCGGGUUGUAAACCGCUUUCGCCUGUGACGAAGCGUGAGUGACGGUAAUGGGUAAAGAAGCACCGGCUAACUACGUG
rnacentral:rRNA from 1 species